rnacentral:tRNA from 1 species
GGACGGUUAGCUCAGUUGGUUGGAGCGUGGUGUUGAUAACACCAAGGUUGCAGGUUCGAUUCCCGUUCAGUCCC